rnacentral:rRNA from 1 species
CCUACGGGAGGCAGCAGUGGGGAAUAUUGGACAAUGGGGGGAACCCUGAUCCAGCCAUACCGCGUGUGUGAAGAAGGCCCUCGGGUUGUAAAGCACUUUCAGUGAGGAAGAACGCCUGGUGGUUAAUACCCAUCAGGAAAGACAUCACUCACAGAAGAAGCACCGGCUAACUCCGUGCCAGCAGCCGCGGUAAUACGGAGGGUGCGAGCGUUAAUCGGAAUUACUGGGCGUAAAGCGCGCGUAGGUGGCUUGAUAAGCCGGUUGUGAAAGCCCCGGGCUCAACCUGGGAACGGCAUCCGGAACUGUCAAGCUAGAGUGCAGGAGAGGAAGGUAGAAUUCCCGGUGUAGCGGUGAAAUGCGUAGAGAUCGGGAGGAAUACCAGUGGCGAAGGCGGCCUUCUGGACUGACACUGACACUGAGGUGCGAAAGCGUGGGUAGCAAACAGGAUUAGAUACCCGUGUAGUC